UAUGAAGGACUCUUCAAGCGGUCUCAUUCUGUUAAACAGACACAGGGACAGGGUGACACAAGUUUGUAUGCGGUAGUAUAAGACACUAACUCUACGUAGGUAAUGAUCGCAGUAGGCGCUUUGUACUUUCAUGUAAAUCUAAUAGACCAUCCAAGUGUCAUACAAGUAAAAGAAAGUGUUGAACGAUGUGUUGCUUAUUCUAUGGACUGUUCAAGCUUUGCUCAGAAAUUUUUAGGUGAAUUCAGCCUCGUUUAUCAGUUGAGCUGAUAGCAGGAGAUAGUAUUAUUGAUUAGCAAACACACAAUGACUCAUGGGGUGUUGUUUGGGUUGAUAAGAGAUAUCGAACCUUUACGGGGGAAUUUCUAGCACGAAAUCACUGACAGUUGAUUCAGUUCCAGCUUUCCGGUACAAUACCUAGCAAAUCCCUAUCAAUGUUAGUUGUCAGCAGUUGAAAGUAGAUAGCAUAGUCGCUUGUGGAUUCCGGUGAAGAUAGGAAUUUAUUUUAGUGCACUCUUGGGUCAGUUGCUUGAGUUCAUUCAUUGGAUAUAGAAUAGCGUUACCUUAAUAUUUUACACAAUGUGUGGUAUUUUCAGAUGCUGUUGUGAUUGCACGAAGAAAGUCGUUUGCUGCUGUUGCUCUUGUGCCCUUCAAAGUUUGUGCUGCAUUAUAUUUGUGGUGUUAAUUAUAGCACUGGCCAUCUUCCUAGGAAUUUAUUUCGGAAUAUUCCACAAUAAUGAUGAUUCAUCGGGUAAUACGACGACCACCACGGCCGCUGUGCCUAGUAGACUUUUAACAACUCUGCUGCCAAAAAUAGAUGAUGCUUAUUCGAGUUCUUAUGAGUGAACCGUUUGCUGACUGAUGACCACCUUAGUUGUUAAUGUGUGACUGUCAUAUUAUGUAAUUCAAAUAUUUUAAAUAUUAGCCAAAUAGAAUAACCACGUUUAGUGAUUGUCUGAAAUGAAUGUGUAUGUUCAACCGAAGUACAGGUCGGACUCGAUUAUCCGGAGUAUCGAUUUUUUUCACUCCGGAUAAUCGAAUUUUCCUGAUAAUCGAAAUUGAAAAAAAUUGAUAUCUUUGAUGGGUAUUAAAAUCAUUCCAUAUAUUCCUUAUAGAUUGCAUAUUUUUAACACUUACAAGGACCACUUGACACAAUCAAACAUAUUGCAACCUUUCAAUUUUUUUUCAAUUUUAAUUUGAUAGGAUUUUUAAAAUAGAAAAUAACGACCGUUAAAAUUGAAAAUAAGGGACAUGUUUGUCUUGUCGACUGAGUGGAUAUGAGUAACUGAUACUGGUCAAUAAAAAACAACCUAGUUUAUUUUCUCUCCUCCUGGAA